UCCCCGUUACCGGGGCAGUCUGAUUAGAAAAAUACAACUAAUCACAAGGGUUGCGCUCGUUGAUGGACUUAACCAAACAUCUCACGACACGAGCUGACGACGGCCAUGCAUCACCUGUCACUUGGCUCAAUAAAGCACUCUCUGCUUUCACAGAAAUUCCAAGGAUGUCAAACCCUGGUAAGGUUCUUCGUUUAUCAUCGAAUUAAAGAACACGAUCCACCGCUUGUGCGGGUCCCCGUCAAUUCCUUUAUGUUUUAGUCUUGCGACCGUACUCCACAGGCGGGAUACUUAACGCGUUAGCUUCGCUACUGAAGGGGUCGAUACCUCCAACAGCUAGUAUCCAUCGUUUACGGCGUGGACUAC
rnacentral:misc_RNA from 1 species